GACGAACGCUGGCGGCGUGCUUAACACAUGCAAGUCGAACGGAAAGGCCCUGCUUUUGUGGGGUGCUCGAGUGGCGAACGGGUGAGUAACACGUGAGUAACCUGCCCUUGACUUUGGGAUAACUUCAGGAAACUGGGGCUAAUACCGGAUAGGAGCUCCUGCUGCAUGGUGGGGGUUGGAAAGUUUCGGCGGUUGGGGAUGGACUCGCGGCUUAUCAGCUUGUUGGUGGGGUAGUGGCUUACCAAGGCUUUGACGGGUAGCCGGCCUGAGGGGGUGACCGGCCACAUUGGGACUGAGAUACGGACCAGACUCCUACGGGAGGCAGCAGUGGGGAGUAUUGCACAAUGGGCGGAAGCCUGAUGCAGCAACGCCGCGUGCGGGAUGACGGCCUUCGGGUUGUAAACCGCUUUCGCCUGUGACGAAGCGUGAGUGACGGUAAUGGGUAAAGAAGCACCGGCUAACUACGUG
rnacentral:rRNA from 1 species